UUCAGCUUACACCUGAAAAAUGUCUGUUAAUACCAGAUCGUCUUGAUGCCAAACUCUAGCCCAAUCAACAUGACCCGGAAUAACAAAGCUACUUCCCCCCACCCAACUAAAGCAUUCAUUAGUCCCAGUAUAGGCGAUAGAAAAGACACCAUUGGCGCGAUAGAGACCACGUACCGUAAGGGAAAGAUGAAAUAACAAUGAAAACUAAGCUAUAAACAGCAAAGAUCAGCCCUUGUACCUCUUGCAUCAUGGUCUAGCAAGAAAAACCAAGCAAAAUGAAUUUAAGUUUGCCACCCCGAAACCCAUGCGAGCUACUCACGAGCAGCUAUUAUUGAGCGAACCCGUCUCUGUGGCAAAAGAGUGGGAUGACUCGUUAGUAGAGGUGAAAAGCCAACCGAGCUGGGUGAUAGCUGGUUGCCUGUGAAACGAAUCUAAGUUCACUCUUAAUUCUUCUCCAAGGAAACCCCACAAACCCCAAUGAAGCGAAUUAAGGGCUAUUUAAAGGAGGUACAGCUCCUUUAAAAAAGAAUACAAUCUCUUCGAGCGGAUAAAUACUAACCCCCUCCAACUGAAUUGUGGGCCCUCAAGCAGCCAUCAACAAAGAGUGCGUUAAAGCUCUGCACCUCAAAAAUAUAAGAACCAUAUGACUCCCUCCUCAUUAACAGGCCAACCUAUAUUCAAAUAGGAGAAUUAAUGCUAGAAUGAGUAACCAGGGUCCUCCCUCUACGACGCAAGCUUACAUCCACACAUUAUUAACAAACAACCAAUAUACGACAAAUCAAACAAGCACAGUAUUAAACACCUUGUUAACCCGACAGAGGAGCGUCCAUUAAGAAAGAUUAAA
rnacentral:rRNA from 1 species